rnacentral:rRNA from 1 species
GCCCGCUCAGAAACUUAAAGGAAGUUGACGGGGGCCCGCACAAGCGGAGGAGCAUGUGGUUUAAUUCGAUGAUACGCGAGGAACCUUACCUGGGCUCGAACGUAAGAUGACUGUAGGUGAAAGCUUACAUCUCUUCGGAGCAUUUUACGAGGUGCUGCAUGGUUGUCGUCAGCUCGUGCCGUGAGGUGUCGGGUUAAGUCCCAUAACGAGCGCAACCCCUACCUUUAGUUGCCAUCAGGUUAAGCUGGGGACUCUAAAGGAACUGCCUACGCAAGUAGUGAGGAAGGCGGGGAUGACGUCAAAUCAGCACGGCCCUUACGUCCAGGGCUACACACGUGCUACAAUGGCCGAUACAGAGGGCAGCUACCUGGUGACAGGAUGCAAAUCUCCAAAGUCGGUCUCAGUUCGGAUCGGAGUCUGCAACCCGACUCCGUGAAGUUGGAAUCGCUAGUAAUCGCGCAUCAGCAUGGCGCGGUGAAUACGUUCCCGGGCCUU